GCAAACUUGGUCAUUUAGAGGAAGUAAAAGUCGUAACAAGGUUUCCGUAGGUGAACCUGCGGAAGGAUCAUUACAGUGCCCAUCGCCGGGGCGCCGCGUAAUCCGCGCGCGCGCCUCGCGCCGGCCACCCGUGUCUACCGAACCUCUGUUGCCUCGGCGGGCCCGCCGCGUCGGCACGUCCGACCUGGCCGCCGGGGGCGCGUCACGACGCCCCUGGCCCGCGCCCGCUGCAGGACCCCCGGAACUCUUGUGAAGCAAGUGAGCCCGGUCUGAGCGUCACGACAAAUCUAGUUAAAACUUUCAACAACGGAUCUCUUGGUUCCGGCAUCGAUGAAGAACGCAGC
rnacentral:misc_RNA from 1 species